rnacentral:rRNA from 1 species
AUUGAACGCUGGCGGAAUGCUUUACACAUGCAAGUCGAGCGGCAGCACGGGGGCAACCCUGGUGGCGAGCGGCGAACGGGUGAGUAAUACAUCGGAACAUGCCCAGUCGCGGGGGAUGACACUUCGAAAGAAGUGCUAAUACCGCAUACGUCCUGAGGGAGAAAGCGGGGGAUAUUCGGACCUCGCGCGAUUGGAGUGGCCGAUGUCAGAUUAGCUAGUUGGUGGGGUAAAGGCCUACCAAGGCAACGAUCUGUAGCUGGUCUGAGAGGAUGAUCAGCCACACUGGGACUGAGACACGGCCCAGACUCCUACGGGAGGCAGCAGUGGGGAAUUUUGGACAAUGGGGGCAACCCUGAUCCAGCCAUUCCGCGUGAGUGAAGAAGGCCUUCGGGUUGUAAAGCUCUUUCGGCAGGAACGAAACGGCGAGCUCUAACAUAGCUUGCUAAUGACGGUACCUGAAGAAGAAGCACCGGCUAACUACGUGCCAGCAGCCGCCGUAACAC